AAGGAAGUUUGGGAAAUGCGGUUUCCAGGCUGCCAGCCCCUGAAGUACAGAGGAGACUGUGGAAAGGCAGGAGUGAGCCCAGGAGCCACAGGCAACAUCCGGGGAUAGCUGCCAAGAGGAAGCAGUGAGUCAAGAACGUGGCUCCUGAACGUCAAGUCUUGGAAUUCAAACACUUCCAUCAAGUAACAGUCAGCAGCCCUGAGAAUUGUUGCUGCUAUCUAGAAGAUAGUGCAUCCUCGAGCCAGAACCCCAGUGACAACCUCAGGCUGCACUUGUGCUCCCAUCUUCUGUAUUAAAUGUAGACCUGGAAGGAGGUGUGAGAGAGAAGGAGGCAGCGGCAAUAUUGCAGAUGUGGUGAAGAUCUGGAGAGGUGGCCUUUACAGCACUGACCAUGAGCAAUGGGCCUGCUGUGAAGAAACAAGUAGUCUCCAGGCCGUGCCUACUGCCUUUAUCCAGCCCAACAGAUGAAAACAUCCUCAUCUGAGGCACCUGACCCUGAGUCCAGAGCACUGGGAACGAAAAGAAUAUCCUGAGACACCCGUUCUCUUAUUCCUGGGAGCCGUCCUCCAGCUCCUGAAAGGAGUUCUGAAGACACUAGAACACUUUUUUUCUUAAGGUAAAAGCAAUGUAUCCUCAUUACAGAAAACAUGGAAAUUUCAGAAAAGUUUAAAGAAGAAAAAGCUUCAGCUGUAAUUGAGCAACCCUGAACGAAACACUGUAACCAUUUUGGGUUGGUUCCUUCUUGUGUGGGCUUUUAAAAAAUAAAUCAUCUACCUAUCCUUUUGU
rnacentral:lncRNA from 1 species